AGCAGCCGCGGUAAUUCCAGCUCCAAUAGCGUAUAUUAAAGUUGUUGCAGUUAAAAAGCUCGUAGUUGAAUUUCGGGGUUCUACCGUUGGUCGGGCUAUUGUCUGUACUGGCGUGUAGAAUUUCUACCUUCUGGGGAGCUAUCAUGUUAUUAAUUUAGCGUGGUAGGAAACCAGAACCUUUACCUUGAAAAAUUAGAGUGUUCAAAGCAGGCUUAUGUCUGAAUACAUUAGCAUGGAAUAAUAAAAUAGGACGGUGGUCCUGUUUUGUUGGUUUCUGAAUCACCGUAAUGAUUAAUAGGGAUAGUUGGGGGCAUUAGUAUUCAAUUGUCAGAGGUGAAAUUCUUGGAUUUAUUGAAGACUAACUACUGCGAAAGCAUUUGCCAAGGAUGUUUUCAUUAAUCAAGAACGAAAGUUAGGGGAUCGAAGACGAUCAGAUACCGUCGUAGUCUUAACCAUAAACUAUGCCGACUAGGGAUCGGACGAUGUUAACUUUUCUUGACUCGUUCGGCGCCUUACGGGA
rnacentral:rRNA from 1 species